GAGUAGUGAGAUGAACUGAAACCACCUAUUUUUCCGAGUAAAAAUUGAAAUUUGAUUCUUUUUGGUGGUUGCAUGCAUAGAAAACUAAUUGACGUCUUGCCUGCUUGAACUUGUUCGUUGUCAUUGUUUAAAAUGUUUAUUGGUGUCGUAAAGUUUGGAAUUCAAUGGUUGGUGGUCUGGUGAUCUUCUUAGAAGUACCCUUUAAUUGAGAAAGCAAAUGUGGAAUGAAAGCUUAGUUCAACUUCAUAAACUGGAAUUAUUGAACGGACCUGUAUUUGGUAAACAUGGUGAUGGAUAUCCGGAGUAACUUUUCUGUAGAUUAAUUGAUAAAAUAAGAUUUAAAAACCAUCAGUUUUCUUCACUUUGUGGUGAAGCCCUUGUCUUAAAUGGUCUGAUGGAAUUCUAUUUCUUAAAUGGGCUAAUGAUGUAGUUGUAAAUGCUGGAUGUUGCAUAUUUAUUGCCUUCUGUUCAUUUUUUUUCGAUAGCUGUCUGGCUGAGAAAGUCAUCAGAUUUCUGUUUUUAUUGAUUAUGCAUCUUCAUGGUUGUAUUGUAUGAUUACAUGGUGGUUGGUGCAUCCAUAAUGCACUUGCAAACUUGUUAGAUGGACUAGAGUUGUCAUUGAGUAUAAAUUGAAAUAGAAAGGUGGGAGCUCUGGUGCUAGAUCCACUUUCUUUACAAACAUUUUAAAGGAAAUGCCGUGCUGUUUUUUAAAUUUUAAGUUUAGUUAUUAUUCACAUUUCUGUAGCUUUAGUUACAUUGUUCGAUUAUAAAACUUGCACUAGCUAAUAACCUGCGUGAUGUGCGGGUUGCAAUUUUUUCUCCCUUUUUCAACUCUUCCUAAAAUGCAAUAUAAAAUAGACAUAAUUGAAUAGAUAACUGAAAUAAAAUAUAAUAUAAUAGACGUAAAAGCCUAUUUUUUUUAAAGUAAUUUUUUGAUAUUAAUAUUAUGAUAUACUAUCAAUAUACAAAAUUCAAAUAAUAUAUGUAUAAUUAUGGAUAUGGUAAAAUAAUAUAUUAUUAUAAAAUAAUAAGAUCACGAUCCAACUUGUGUAAAAAUAAGAAAUAGAAAAGUAUUGCAUAUAGAGGAUAUUUAAAUGCAAUAUAGCAAGAUUAUUAGUAGUUAUACUCUCACUUUUAAAUAACAACAUGAUCACAAAAUGUAAUAAAUUUUUUUAAAAAAUAGUGUAAUAUAAUGAAUCGUGCAGGAUAUGGGCAAGGUACGAUACUAAUGAUUUUUUUUUUCCACUAAUAUCAAUCUACAUUAAGCAAAUAUGAUUAUUAAUCUUGUCAUUAAAUUCUAUUUUAAUUUGGUGAUACUAAUGAAAGGUUCUUUAUUUAUUAUGAUCUAAUAACCUAAUAAGUUUCUUAUUAAUGUAUUAAUAAGCUUCUUAUUUAAUAUGGUAUUAAAUAAGGUUUUGCACACGGAGAGCUCUAGUAUAUGUACAAGUGGCGAACGGAGAGCUCUGCUGAAGUAGAGCCUCCAUUUUAUUUUUGUGCAUGUGUGUAUAUAUAUGCAUAUAUAUAUAUAUAUGUAUACAUAUAUAUCUAUAUGCGUAUGUAUACAUAUAUAUAUAUAUGCGUAUGUAUAUGCGUAUAUAUAUGUAUAUAUAUAAGUACAUAUACACAUAUAUAUACACAUACAUAUACACACACACACACAUAUAUAUAAAUAGAAAGCCUGGAGUGUAAGGGUCUACAAAUUAGAUUAAAGAUAUUAUAUGUAAAACAAUUUGUGCAGGAUUAGAUAUGAAAUAUAAUGUUAUCUUUUGGACAAAUUAUGCUCCAAGGGUUGCCAAUUACAUGUGGAGUUUGCAUAUUGGUCAACUGCAAGACUUCAAAGAAACAACUAUUUAGAAGCUUUUUUUUUUAGUGCUUAAUCUUAGGAGCAAGAUCUAUCGUACCGUCCCAUACUGUUCGAUACAGAAUGUACUAUACCAUACCAAGAGAAAACCGGUAUGAAACACAUAUUUAAGUCAGUAUAAGCUUCGUACCGCCCGUAUCGAGGCGUACCAUCCCGUACCGAGGCAUACCAACCUGUACGAGGCAUACUGAGGUGCGUAACGAGAUGAAAAUUGAGAAAAUAGGUAAGAGAGCUAUUUCGGCACAAAGGUGUACCGUGCCAUACCGAACCGAAAAUGUACCAAUACAGUACCUCGUAUCGAGAUUGCGAACCUUGCCUGGGAGGGUGCAAACUGGUUGAGUUGGUAAAGUCACUCAAUCCAACCCUUGCCCCAAUUUUGGCCCAGCUUCCUCCCAUUCUCAAAAAGAACUCUUUAUUCCUAGAUUAGUAUAAUUUCUGAAUCAAGACACUGUAACAAGUAUGAUGGUGUUGCCCAAGGUUGAGCAUCACAAAAACAAAGCAAAAAUUUGAUGAGACGAAAAAAGCUGGAAUAUGAAGUAGUACUUGGAGUAGCUGUCCUCUGCCUAUGUUCAUCCCUUGGAGUUCAUAGCAAAAUUACAGAAAAAAGGUUCCCAGGUCUUCUAGAAGCUUGAUAAGAAUAACUAGGAUAUUUAGUUAUCAUGAUUGCACUUCUCAAUAAUCAACUGCUGCAAGCAUGUUUUCAGAUAUCGAAGGGAAACCAGCCAGUAACAAUAUGGAUAGUGAAAGAUAGCACACCUGGAGAGGUUUACAAAAAUUGCGAACAUGGAGAAUCCACAUAUGCUGUAGUGAGUAUUUUGUAUGUAAAUCAAAUGGUUUUGUCAUAGUAUGCGUAAGGAGAACUGGGAUAUCAAAGCCUAAAUGCAGGAACAUUUGACUAACACCACAUGACUAACUUGAUAAGCUGAGUCACUACCAGAGGAGGGACAGACAAUCAUGCAAUUAAUUCUAGCUUUCUCAAAACCAUUGAUAUCUAUUCAGCUGGUAAUACAUCUUUCACUUUCAGAAUCAAGUCAGCUGAUAGUUUUUGUUAUCUAGUUUGAUCAUCAGAACUGUGGAACAUAUUUGCAUCAAUUUUUACUCUGUAGUCAUCAUUACAAGAAUCUCAGAUAUUCUUACUUAUUCUAAGUUAGCUUCCCCAAUUUUUAGCAGGCCAAAUUUACUUGUCUGGAUCAUAUUCAAAGUAAAAAACAGUUGAUCUAAACAUGGGAACUUGCAAAUAUGACCAGAAGUAGAUUAUUUAAUCAUGAUGAAACACAUCAAGGAUAGCUCCCUGGCUUCACCUUUUGAAAAAGAUUCUCAACUUGGUUAUGAGGCUUAUAUAGGUGUGGAAGGACUAAUCUGCUUUUCACAAGAUUCAGAAGUCUACAAAAUCCACAAUACAGGAGCUGGUCUCAAAUAAGAUUUCAUUUAUAUGAUUCUUGGACCAUGGUGAGUAUUUCUUAUAUAAUUUCUCUCCUUCUAUCACUUUGUAUCACUUUUCAAUCCCUCUUCCUCAUUUUAUCACUUUUCAAUUUCUUCACACCUGCAUUUGCAACACCUGAUUCUGCUCCUGGGCCUAAAUUCAUUGGAAAAUUUUGUCUGAGAUCUUGGGGAAAGACUUGAUUCAUUAUCUCAUGUCUGCUUUUUGCGAAAAAGGACCAAUUUGAAGGGGAGGUUUUUUCAAACAACAAGGAGCUGUGGCAACUAUUCAAGCAGUGAAUAUUUGCUGCUUUUUGAAAGGAUUUAUGUAGGUGUAUGAAAAGAGUGUAAAACAUCAAAAGUAAAUCAUCUUUGAUAUGUUCAUUAUUACUUUGUUCACUCAGAUCUAGUCAGAAAGUAUUUAGGGUAAUCAAAUGACCUAGAUUUUACUUGUUUCAAGUAGACUUUUGACUCAAAUGAACCAUCAAAGAAAUGACUUGCCUAUGCUUGUACCACAUGGCCUAGUUGGGAGAAAUAUUGACUUAAGUAUUCAGCAAGAUAUGACAUCCGACCAGUAGGUACCUAAACGAAAUUUCAUGUAGUUGAAUAUCUUACCUUUAUGCUUUCCCUGAUAUCCUUCGUUAACCUGUUUGCUGUGACGUCUUAUGACCAAGUAUUCUCUGACAUAUCUCGCUUUUGUUUUCUUGCUUCAUUUCGCCUUGCACGA